AAACAUAGAGAGCAAAAAAAGGAAAGCACGCCAAACCCUCAAGGCCAAAAUUGUCUACACCUGUCUCUCUACUUUUCUCCUCCUCCUUCUCGGUCUGGAUUGCCCUCCAAAUGUAACAACUCUACUGCCAGCAAUUACAGAGAUUAUCCCUAAGAUUUUUGUUAAAGGAGAUAAAUUUGCCUGCAAAGGUAGAUUGUAAAG
rnacentral:misc_RNA from 1 species